UACGUAGGGUGCAAGCGUUGUCCGGAAUUAUUGGGCGUAAAGAGCUCGUAGGCGGUUCGUCGCGUCGGCUGUGAAAACCCGGAGCUCAACUCCGGGCCUGCAGUCGAUACGGGCGGACUUGAGUGUUGCAGGGGAGACUGGAAUUCCUGGUGUAGCGGUGAAAUGCGCAGAUAUCAGGAGGAACACCGGUGGCGAAGGCGAGUCUCUGGGCAACAACUGACGCUGAGGAGCGAAAGCGUGGGGAGCGAACAGG
rnacentral:rRNA from 1 species